UCGCAGGAGUGGUUGGAGAGCAAACUUAGUUGAUUCGUCAUAACAAUUCAAAGUCAGCUGAGUAGGGGGUUUCUAGCAGAUAUUGAGAGUCGUCAGUGUCAUUCUUUUGGCUUGCCGGACUAGUAUUAGUUCGUGCGCCGGUCACGAUUCGAAUUUGGUUCGUGACACAAUGGAUCCUUCAAAAUUUCUUUUUGAUAUCGAAGCUUACAAAAGACGGUCUGAAAUCGAAGAGAGGUAUAUCGUCAACCGGUUCAGGGAGCGACGAAACCAAAUAGAGGAAAGAUAUACACCUCGUGUCAAGAGAAAAUAUCAUGCAGCGGCAAACCAAGGAUCAACUAAGUGUUCGGGCAGUGAAGAGUGGAAUGAAUUCAAACAAUAUAGGGAGAAAGAGUUUGAACGAUUGGACAAAAUA